rnacentral:rRNA from 1 species
UACGUAGGGACCAAGCGUUGUUCGGAUUUACUGGGCGUAAAGGGCGCGUAGGCGGCAUGACAAGUCACUUGUGAAAUCUCCGGGCUUAACUCGGAACGGUCAAGUGAUACUGUCGCGCUAGAGUGCGGAAGGGGCAAUCAGAAUUCUUGGUGUAGCGGUGAAAUGCGUAGAUAUCAAGAGGAAUACCUGAGGUGAAGACGGGUUGCUAGGCCGACACUGACGGCUGAAGCGCGGAAAGCCAGGGGAGCAAACGGG